CGCGUAGGUGGUAGUGUAAGUCUGGGGUGGAAUGCCCGGGGCUUAACCCUGGAAUUGCCUUGGAAACUGCAUUACUUGAGUCAGUGAGGGGAGGGUAGAAUUCCGUGGUGUAGCGGUGAAAUGCGUAGAUAUCAGGAGGAAGGCCUGUGGCGAAGGCGGCCCUCUCGGUGCUGGACUGACACUGAGGCGCGAAAGCGUGGGGAGCAAACAGGAUUAGAUACCCUGGUAGUCCACGCCCUAAACGGUGGGCACUAGGUGUAGAGCUCGUAAGGGUUCUGUGCCGAAGGGAAACCAUUAAGUGCCCCGCCUGGGGAGUACGGGCCGCAAGGUUGAA
rnacentral:rRNA from 1 species